rnacentral:rRNA from 1 species
CCCGGUGACCAUAGCGGAGGGGAAACACCCGAUCCCAUUCCGAACUCGGAAGUUAAGCCCUCCAGCGCCGAUGGUACUGGGCUGGCGACGGCCCGGGAGAGUAGGUCGUUGCCGGGA